rnacentral:tRNA from 1 species
GAAAUAUGAUGACCAAGAAAAAGCUGCUAACUUCUUUCUUUAGCGGUUUAAUUCCGUUUAUAUUUCU